UGCUGCCUGCUUUUCCCAGCUGAGGGAGCCGACGUUCUCGCCCGAGCCCCAAGGCAGAGGAAACCCAUGGGUUCCUCACUGCCCUGCCAGGCCCUUCCACAUAGUUUGAACCCAGGGAACCUCUUGGCAAGAUGAUCAUCUGGCAAAGUGUAAGGCCUGAGGUGAAGGAGCCGUGCCAGCACCCAGGAGCAGGGUUUCAUGGUGCUCACGAACUUGUUACAUAAACUAGGCUGGCGUCAAACUCACGGAAAUCUCCAGGGCUGGCUUAUUUAUUUAUUUAUUUAUUGCUUGUAUUUCUGUUCUAGUGGGCCAAACUCUAGAAAAGUCUAGAGAGAUCAGAAAUAUACAGCCCAGUGAUUGAUGCCAUUACAGGCAUAAUGGUAUGAUGGGGCCUUCAAACCAGCCUGGGGGCUAGAGGACACUGUUCUGGAGAGGUGAGGCUGACGUGCAGUUUGAAGAAUAAGACUGAGCUGAACUCAGCAGGGACGGUGAAAGGUGUGACAGUGGACGUCAUGUACAGAGACUAAGGCAGGGACGGUGAAAGGUGUGACAGUGGACGCCAUGUACAGAGACUAAGGCAGGGACGGUGAAAGGUGUGACAGUGGACGCCAUGUACAGAGACUAAGGCAGGGACGGUGAAAGGUGUAACAGUGGACGUCAUACACAGAGGCUAAGGCAGGGACGGUGAAAGGUGUAACAGUGGACGUCAUACAUAGAGGCUAAGGCAGGGACGGUGAAAGGUGUGACAGUGGACGUCAUACAUAGAGGCUAAGGCAGGGACGGUGAAAGGUGUGACAGUGGACGCCAUGUACAGAGACUAAGGCAGGGACAGUGGAAGGUGUAACAGUGGACGCCAUGUACAGAGACUAAGGCAGGGACGGUGAAAGGUGUGACAGUGGACGCCAUGUACAGAGACUAAGGCAGGGACGGUGAAAGGUGUGACAGUGGACGCCAUGUACAGAGACUAAGGCAGGGACGGUGAAAGGUGUAACAGUGGACGUCAUACACAGAGGCUAAGGCAGGGACGGUGAAAGGUGUAACAGUGGACGCCAUGCACAGAGGCUAAGGCUAAAGGUGUAACACUGUCUGUAACAGUGGACACCAUGCACAGAGACUAAGGCAGGGACGGUGGCCAGUUUGGAGCUCACAGCUGUUGUCUUAAUGCAUUGUCCCCUGGCCUCAUGCACAGGAGUUCUCAAGCCUGUCAAGCCCCGACACCUGGGAGUCACCAUGUCUGUUUAGAACCAACUCGUUUCUUUAUUUGUUUUUUUGUUGUUGUUGUUGUUUUGUUUUGUUUUUUUUAAGAGUCUUGCCAAAUAACCCGGGCUGCCCUCACACUCAUGGCAGUCGUGGGUGCUGGGAUUACAGUGUCUCACUCUAAGCUUCCAGCUAGUUUUUGAGUAAAUGGGACAUGUUUUGUCUAGAGGCAGGAGAAAACUUCUUACUGUGUUUUGCCCAUAUUUCCAAAA